UUUAAUUAUAAUUGUGUCUUUUU
rnacentral:snRNA from 1 species